GUUCUCAUAAGGUUUUCACAUCCAUAGAGCAGAAGAAGCCUUGUCAGACCAUCCCGAGGCUCAUAAAUCUACCCAUGGAAUACCUUCUGGCACUUUUAAGCUCUAACAACACCAUUUCCCAGGGCUAAAAUGGAGGUUAGUCAGGUUCUCAUAAGGUUUUCACAUCCAUGGAGCAGCAGAAGCCUUGUCAGACCAUCCCGAGGCUCAUAAAUCUACCCAUGGAAUACCCCACAACCACCUCCAUGAAAGCCUUAUGAAACGAAGGUGUGUGAGCCUUGAUGUGUUGGAGGAUAUGGCCUUACGGAACACAAAUUACUGAGUUACGUCUAGUUUUGGGUGCUUUAGAGAAACACUGAAUAACGAGCAAGCCAGAAAGGAGUUAGAAAAUUAAUAAAACUGCAUAAUAUCGCACACUCCUCGCUUAACUACGAGAAAAAGCACCCUGUUAAGGUCGUUACGUGACAACACCGAGAAUGCUCUGUUGGCGGCAAGAUACAAAACACCGAUUACUGGCUACGUCCAAGGUGAGGUGAAGGAAAGGAAAGAAAUAACCAAAAAUAAAGUUAAACAAAGUAAUAAAAACAAGUAUAAUGCAAGAUACAAAACACCGAUUACUGGGGAUUUAGAGGCAAACUAAAGGAAAGAAACACCCAAAAUAAAAGUUAAACAAAGGGAAAAAAUGAAUAUAAUGCUCCUUCACCUUUCUCAAGACAUUCAUUAACCAUCAAAAUCCACACAGAGAGAGAAUAGGAACCAGGAACGUAAUUAAUAAAGUGAAAUAACAACAACAACAGCGAUAAUGAUGAUAAUAAAAUGUAAUAAUAAUGAUAAAAACAGAAGACAGGUAACAAAAACAACAGCAAUAAUGAUAAUAAAUGACAAUUACAGUACUAAAAAAAUAACCAUGAUAAUGAUACUAAUAAAAAUAACAAGAAAAUGGGCAAGAAAAUUAAGAGGGUAACAAUAAUAAUAAUAAAAAUAAGAAGAAGAAGAAAACACAAGAACGGAAGGAGUCUGUAAAAUGUCAAUAAUAAUAAUAAUAAAUAAGAACAACAACAACAGGUAACAACAACAACAACAGCGCAUACCUUAAGAUGCGUCGAGCCGGCCCUAAUCUGCUCGAGAAGUGCCGAGCGCGUGUCUGUGGCCGCACCCC